rnacentral:rRNA from 1 species
UACGUAGGAGGCAAGCGUUAUCCGGAAUGACUGGGCGUAAAGGGUGCGUAGGUGGUCUGACAAGUUGGUAGCGUAAUCCCGGGGCUCAACUUCGGUGCUACUACCAAAACUGUUGGACUUGAGUGCAGGAGGGGCAUAUGGAAUUCCUAGUGUAGCGGUGGAAUGCGCAGAUAUUAGGAGGAACACCAGUGGCGAAGGCGAUAUGCUGGACUGUAACUGACACUGAGGCACGAAAGCGUGGGGAGCAAACAGG